UAGGGAAUCUUCCACAAUGGACGCAAGUCUGAUGGAGCAACGCCGCGUGAGUGAAGAAGGUUUUCGGACCGUAAAGCUCUGUUGUUGGUGAAGAAGGAUAGAGGUAGUAACUGGCCUUUAUUUGACGGUAAUCAACCAGAAAGUCACGGCUAACUACGUGCCAGCAGCCGCGGUAAUACGUAGGUGGCAAGCGUUGUCCGGAUUUAUUGGGCGUAAAGCGAGCGCAGGCGGAAGAAUAAGUCUGAUGUGAAAGCCCUCGGCUUAACCGAGGAAUUGCAUCGGAAACUGUUUUCUUGAGUGCAGAAGAGGAGAGUAGAACUCCAUGUGUAGCGGUGAAAUGCGUAGAUAUAUGGAGAACACCAGUGGCGAAGGCGGCUGUCUGGUCUGUAACUGACGCUGAGGCUCGAAAGCAUGGGUAGCGAACAGGAUUAGAUACCCUGGUAGUCCAUGCCGUAAACGAUGAGUGCUAAGUGUUGGAGGG
rnacentral:rRNA from 1 species